CAGCCGCCACGGGAAUACGUAGGGUGCAAGCGUUAAUCGGAAUUACUGGGCGUAAAGCGUGCGCAGGCGGUUUGUUAAGACAGAUGUGAAAUCCCCGGGCUCAACCUGGGAACUGCAUUUGUGACUGGCAAGCUAGAGUCUGGCAGAGGGGGGUGGAAUUCCGCGUGUAGCAGUGAAAUGCGUAGAUAUGCGGAGGAACACCGAUGGCGAAGGCAGCCCCCUGGGCCAACACUGACGCUCAUGCACGAAAGCGUGGGGAGCAAACAGGAUUAGAUACCCGCGUAGUCCCUGUCUCUUAUAC
rnacentral:rRNA from 1 species